AUGGCUUACGAGCCGGCGGUGAUUUGCGCUCGGUGCGGCAGGAAGGCGCCGCGGUGGAUAUCCUGGAGUCUGGCGAACCCUGGUAGGAGAUAUUAUUCAUGCGUAGAUUCUCAGGUGUCAUGAACUGAACAACAUGGCUUCAUCGACUGGCAUGACACCCCCACGACUCCAUUUCUUUGUCAAUUGCUAGGAGACCUACGGGAUAAAGUGUGGAGGCUGGAGGAUGAGCUUGUUGGCCAGUCAAGGGAAGGAGAGGUUGCUGUUUUGAGAGAGGAAUUGGAGAAGAAAAAUGCUUUGGUAGCGAAAACUAGAGCUAGAUGUGCUAGCAGAGAUGACAUGCAGAUGUACAAGUGUCUGUUUUAUGGCUUAUUUCUCUUUGUUGCUGGCUUACUUGCAGGUUUCCUCCUGUCUCAGUAG
rnacentral:rRNA from 1 species